UGACCAAUGACCAGUUGCCAGCGCGCCCUGCUCAUUGACGGACAAGACUCGUGAGCGCCGGGCUGGUUUCCUGACACUGACACGCGGUAUAUACGUCUUAUUUUGGGCACCGGAAACAUAGGCUGGCCACACCAGGCUGCUGCAUGAGGCAGGCACCAGGAGGCUGAUGACCAGAAAUGUCAGCCUUUGUGUACUUUAACUGAGUAGUGUUCCAGACUGCUUGAAGCCCAGCCGGGGUCUUGAGGCAUCCUUGGAGGGGCCGCUUGGGGGAAAUGGUGCUCCUGUGAGUGGUGUUUGGGGGAGCGUUCCUUUGCUUCUCCUUGGCGAGGCGUCACCCUCUGGCCCCACCGUGAUGGCAUUCUGCUCCUCUUCUCCCUCAGUCUUGCCAGGCACUACAUAUAUUGAAGAAAUCAUUUAAGUAAUGUGAAGGAAAUGUCUAAUGAAGCAUUGAAGUUUCAUAAGCAAAGAAAUGAGGCAAGAAUUAAUUGCAGUAAACAUUGUAAGAGUGGCGACAGGCUGGAUGCUCAAGCUAGACCUACCUUCUCCGAUGUGACUGUUGAGGUGGUAGAAGGUGGGGGAGGAGGAGCAGUUCACCAUGUACCAGUGGUCACACACCAUGAACUUCUGGUUGAAGAGGGUAUAGUUUGGGCACAGGUAUGAGUACUGCCUCUCCAGACUGUCACACAUGUGGUACACCUGUCAACACAAGGCAGCAGGCCCAAUAAUUUUUCUGCCAGCUUAUAAUGGGGCAAGGUGUGCCAGUGUGUGGCAGCAGGACUACCUGGCAGCCAGUGUCUGGGUCAGCGUAGUAUCCGGCACUGUGACCCAGGCAGCGGAAGGGAGUGUCAGGAAUAGCCCCUAGCAGUGGAACAGUUGCUUCUUUCUGCAGAAGGAAGACAAUAGGGCAUAACAGCAUAACAGAGCAUCUGGAAGGGUCACCUCGGUCAUGGAUGUGAUGCCAUUGCUGCAGGAGGUGAGGGAGUAGAGGAAGAGGAGGAAGAGGAGGUGUGGCAGGCGCCGGUGUGGGUGCUGGAUGGAGCCCCAGGAAAGAGGUUGCAUAAUGUGGCAAGACUGCAUCAUUGUCCUGGUAGUGGUGGUGGUGACCUCUGCCGAGGCCUCCUGCAGACACCAACAACGCACUGCUGCAAGAAAUGUAUGAUUGUCUUGUGUUGAUAGUGAAAAAAGUGAUGCCUUCAAAAUUAAUAAGUGUAUAUUUUUAGUAAGAGCAGCAACAUAUAAAACAAUCAUUAUCAUCAUCAGUAGCAACAGUUGUAAUAGAGGUCAUUAUAAUAAGUGGGAACUAUGAAUUAUUUCAGCAAUAAAAGAUCAAUUUCA